GCCGGUCCUCGGUGGUGGCCUCCGGGCAUGCCCUCCCGUCGCGGGGGGAACGUCCCCGGGGGCUUCGAUCGAAGACCGGU
rfam:Geodermatophilus nigrescens strain DSM 45408 genome assembly, contig: Ga0131184_103